UGGGGAAUAUUGGACAAUGGACGAAAGCCUGAUCCAGCAAUGCCGCGUGAAUGAUGAAGGCCUUAGGGUUGUAAAGUUCUUUUAGUGGGGAAGAUAAUGACGGUACCCACAGAAAAAGCACCGGCUAACUCCGUGCCAGCAGCCGCGGUAAUACGGAGGGUGCAAGCGUUGUUCGGAAUUACUGGGCGUAAAGCGCGCGUAGGCGGCUUGAUAAGUUGGGAGUGAAAUCCCGGGGCUUAACUCCGGAAUUGCUUUCAAAACUAUCAAGCUAGAGUAUGACAGGGGACAGUGGAAUUCCUAGUGUAGAGGUGAAAUUCGUAGAUAUUAGGAGGAACACCAGUGGCGAAAGCGACUGUCUGGACCAUUACUGACGCUGAGGCGCGAAAGCGUGGGGAGCAAACAGGAUUAGAUACCCCCGUAGUCC
rnacentral:rRNA from 1 species